rnacentral:tRNA from 1 species
GAAGGUAUAGCUCAAGUGAUAGAGCACAUGCCUAGCAUGCAUGAGGUUCUGGGUUCAAUUCCCCAGUACCUCCU